GCCCUAUGCCGUCGUUGCUGGAACCACCGUUGCUGCCCUACCCUGCCGCCGCUGCUCGAAACCCCCUCUCUAUUCUCGCCGCUGUUGCCCUACUGUCGUUGGAAUGGCCGCCGCCACCGCUGCUUGAACCGCCCAUUUCCAUUCCAGGCAGCAGAGGUAGGUCGAGUGGGACAUGUGGUUGUAGUAGAGGGCGGGAUUCCAACAAAUCCCCUAGGGUUGCCUAGUCAUUGCCUGCUAUCCCAGCUACCCCGUCGACCCUUGUGACGUCACAGGCGGGUCCAUCGGACUAGCAAUUUAUCAUGGUCCCAAACCCGAACUGGGUGCCUCCUACUUCUGCUACGCCCCCUGUAGAUGCAGCGACAAUGUCGACAGAGCUUACGGUGGGUGAUACCUCCAAUGCCCCCGAGCAAGAUGCCCCUCCACCAUCGCCCGUCAUCUGGCUGAGGAUUUGGCCCGAUGGCAUGCAGUCGUGAGUUUAAUUUUUUAAUAUUAAAUUUGUUUAUUUUAAGUUUGUUUAUGCUAAGUUUGUUUAUCUUAUUUAAUUGUUAAUGUGCGGUUUGUUCUCUGACAAGUUUGCACCGAACCCCAAUUUGGUUAUUAAGACCAUCAGUGGCCGAUCUACAUGCAGAUCCCGGCUAAGACCAGAGAGCGUUAGUUUCAGAAGUGGACGGAUGUAGAGCAUAACCUCAUGAUCCGGAAGAUUUAUGACCACUGGACAACCAAACAUUUUCAGCAGAUGAUGAAUGAUGUUUGUCAGGGAAAAGACCACCUAACCUCGUGGAUCUAUCCAAACAUCAAGUAUGAUAUAGAGGCUCAUUUUAGAGAUAACGAGGGGUUCAAGCAUCGCCGUCUGACGAACAUCACCAACAGGACUUUGCCCAGGACGUCGAGGUAUACGAGUGGGUCGGCAACCUUCAUGAAGACGAAGACGAGACUGGUUUUUCCCGUACCCGAAUGCGUGUACGCAGGAGAUGACGAAUGUUAUAAAGCUGAUGUACGACCAUCCUUAACCCAGCUACAUAAAUAUCUCCACUGAGACCAAGCAGUGCUGGUUUGAAAAACGGGCAGUAAUUACUUUCAUUGUUUCUAUUUUAGGCUUUUUUUAGCUAGUUUAUAUCCUCUAUCUUGUUUACCUAAAUUUAAAGCUGUUUUGUUACAGCUUCACUUUUUUGGGAUGCUGGGCACGACCUGGCUAUUUGGAAGAUAUUUGACUAUAGGAUAGGUCAGCUACUCAAGCAGAUGCUGGAUGAUGUUCGUCAUGGGCGGGACCAACGGACGCGCUGGCUCUGACUGGAGGUAAAAGAGGGCAUGUUAGCUCAUUCGGAGACCGACUCGGGGUUCAGGCAUUGGCGUCUCAACAACCGAGCUAAUAGGGCAUCAACUAGGUUGUCCAAGUACACCGGCGGCUCGGCGACCUUCAUGAAGAUGAAGGUCAGGCUGUCGAAUUCAUUGGAACGUGAGGCCAUAUUGGAGGAGACGUUCAAGUAUACCCACAUGCUGAAGGAGAACAAACACAUGAGUCUUACACACAAAGAAUAGAGGCCGUGACUUAGUAGUCUCAGCAAAGUAGGGAGGACACCGCUAAUGGAUCUGCGGCCUUAGUCGUCGACCACGAUGCGGUUUGGCACGAGACCACCCCAGCCUCGUACAUGAACAGCGUAUACGGGAUGGGAUCGUUCUUCACCAGCAGCCUUUGCACCUCGACGUUGAGGCCGUCAUCAAGCUCCACCUCCAUUCAAGCCGUCCAGCUCGAGGAAAGCGUGGAUUUAAGGUUCCAAGCUCCAGCGUAGCCUUCAUUAGCAAGCUCAAGAGCUUAAUGAUUAUCAGGAGAUGAAUCAGGAGAUCCUCACCCACGUGACAUCUACGGAUGAGCUCAGGCUGGAGUUUAGGGAGUCGCUGGAGCGGAUGCAGCGUAGGCUUAGAUGGAGGUGUACCAGGCCCAGAUGCGCGCCGCUGGCAUCGACCCUGCUGGUGGCAGUGGUAGCACUGGUGGCACAUGGACAUCGUCACCGCCUCCUACACACCCCGACUUAGGGCCACGAAACAAACGACGACGACUACCUGAAUUUGUAGAUAUUAGGUUUUUGUUUUAUUGUUUCAUACAUUUAUU